rnacentral:rRNA from 1 species
GAAAGCGUGGGGAGCAANCAGGAUUAGAUACCCUGGUAGUNCACGCCGUAAACGAUGAGUGCUAGGUGUUAGACCCUUUCCGGGGUUUAGUGCCGCAGCUAACGCAUUAAGCACUCCGCCUGGGGAGUACGACCGCAAGGUUGAAACUCAAAGGAAUUGACGGGGGCCCGCGCAAGCGGUGGAGCAUGUGGUUUAAUUNGAAGCAACGCGAAGAGCCUUACCAGGUCUUGACAUCCCUCUGACCGCUCUAGAGAUAGAGUUUUCCUUCGGGACAGAGGUGACAGGUGGUGCAUGGUUGUCGUCAGCUCGUGUCGUGAGAUGUUGGGUUAAGUCCCGCAACGAGCGCAACCCCUAUUGUUAGUUGCCAUCAUUCAGUUGGGCACUCUAGCGAGACUGCCGGUAAUAAACCGGAGGAAGGUGGGGAUGACGUCAAAUCAUCAUGCCCCUUAUGACCUGGGCUACACACGUGCUACAAUGGCUGGUACAACGAGUCGCAAGCCGGUGACGGCAAGCUAAUCUCUUAAAGCCAGUCUCAGUUCGGAUUGUAGGCUGCAACUCGCCUACAUGAAGUCGGAAUCGCUAGUAAUCGCGGAUCAGCACGCCGCGGUGAAUACGUUCCCGGGCCUUGUACACACCGCCCGUCACACCACGAGAGUUUGUAACACCCG